CAGCGACAACACUUGCAAAUAAUGCAGCAAUCAGCCUGCAGGUGAGGUCAAGUGUCAUUCAUAUUAGUGCAAAGUUUCACUACAUCUUUGUUGUUUUUUUGAUGAAUUGUGUAAUCGAUUGUAUUAUUGCUGUUAUUAACACACACCUCCUGACAUCCACAGCCUGUCUCACCUGUUUCCAAGUUGUCAGAUAUAAAGACUGAUAUAAUUCAGGCCUGCUGGUGGUAAAUAAAGCUUAUUUGUUCUCCACUUCUGGAUUUUCAGUGUAUUUCUUUUGACUAUUCAGGUGUUUUGAAUGUCCACCAGCUGCUGGAUGCACCCAGGACUAAACUUUCUCUCCACAGCUUGUUCAAUCUCAGCUCUUGGUGUAAACAUUUGCAUUAUUACAAUCAGGCCCUUCGUCUAUGAACAAACAGACAGACACAUUAGUGGAGAUAUUUGGAGGCGUUGAAGGUCAUCAAGAUGAAGUCCUGAGUGCUGAUUUUGAUCUCUUGGGUGAAUAAAUGAUGUCAUGUGUGAUGGACCACUCCCUAAAACUUUGGCGGAUUAAUUCAGAGAGAAUGCAGAAAGCCGUUGGCGGAUCUUACGAGUACAACCCCUCCAAGACCAACAGAUUGCAGGAAGUUUGCUGGCAACUGGACCAUCUUACUGUUAGAACAGAUGGAAAGAAAAUUCAUACUAUCAACCUAAACAGAGACUUUAAAAAGCUGAAACACCACCCUCAAGGAAAGCGUGUGAUCACCAGGGCGGUGAUGUGGGUCAGUGGUCUGUUGUGUCACAAUAAAAAGUUCCCCAGCUCAAUUAGCUCAGUGAUUAACUUUCCCGCUGGCUGAUUAAAAAUGCUCCUGCCGUCACCCUUUACCGAGGCGCUGUCCUGACUAUUGAAGCUGGUUCAUUGGAAGAGUUUGGGGCUCUUGGUAAUGAACUGAAACACCAUCUGUCAGCUAAAGCAAGCACACUCACAUUUCUCACAGAAAGUUACACCUUUUCUAGUUUAUUGUUAUUUUAUAUUAUAAUGUAUUCAUUCAUGUAUUUUUCCUGUGAAAAUGUAAAUGAUAAUUGAGUUUAAUAAUAUGUCAUUUAUCUUUAUCAAUAAUGUGACCUCAUGAAGUUUAUUUGGUUGGAGAAACAGUCUUAAGUUUAUUGGAGGGAAUGUCUUCUCACUCGCUGCAACCCAGAGAGGUCAGAGGUCAGGCUAACAUCUAGAUCAGCACAGCUACAGCAAGUAGGAUUCAAUAUAUUUAUAGAUUAUUUAUAUAUUUAUAG